AGCAGGAAUGCUGCAGUGGCCGUCACUCCCUCUGCCACUAUCCCCAGGGAAGGAAAGGCUCCGCCAUUUGGGCAAGUGGUUUCUACAUCACUGGACACCAGUUCUGAGCGUUAGUUUGAGAACUCGUUCCCGAAUGUGCUUUCCUCCCUCUCCCCUGCCCGCCUCAAGUUUAAUAAAUAUGGUUGUACUUUUCUUAUUAUAAAAUAAAUGUCUGUAACUGCUGUGCACUGCUGUAAACUUGUUAGAGAAAAAAUAACCUGCAUGUGGGCUCCUCAGUUAUUGAGUUAUUGUGAUCCUAUCUCAGUCUGGGGGGGAACAUUCUCAAGAGGUGAAAUACAGAAAGCCUUUUUUUCUUGAUCUUUUCCCAGUUGUUCUUUUCUUGAUCUUUUCCCGAGAUUCAAAUGUCCGAUUCCCAUUUGGGGGCAAGUUUUUUUCUUCACCUUCAAUAUGAAAAUUCAGCGAAAUUGAAAGAAAAAUCAUCUGUGAGUUCCUUCAGGUUCUCACUCAUAGUCAUGAUCCUUCAGAGGGAAUAUGCACUGGCGAGUUUAAAGUAAGGGCUAUGAUAUUUGAUGGUCCCAAAGUACGGCAGCUGCAAAAAGUAGUGGAAGGAAAUUGUCUUUCUACGUGUUUUGGGAAAAUUAAUUAGGAAUUUGGAUGGGUAAAAGGUACCCUUGCCUUACUUCAUCUUAUUUUCUUAGCCCCCUUUGAGUGUUUUAACUGGUUUCAUGUCCUAGUAGGAAGUGCAUUCUCCAUCCUCAUCCUCUGCCCUCCCAGGAAGUCAGUGAUUGUCUUUUUGGGCUUCCCCUCCAAAGGACCUUCUGCAGUGGAAGAGCCUCAUCCAGUUAUUUUCUUUUGUUGCUGCUGUGUUUAGAUAAUUGAAGAGAUCUUUGUGCCACACAGGAUUUUUUUUUUUAAGAAAAACCUGCAGAUGAAAAAUUACUAAUGAAACUGUGUGUACGUGUCUGUGCAUGCAACAUAAAAAUACAGUAGCACCUAAGGAGCUUGAAUCUUGGUUCCUGUAAAAUUGCAAAUUGAUGUGGUAUUAAUAA
rnacentral:lncRNA from 1 species